UAGGGAAUCUUCGGCAAUGGGGGGAACCCUGACCGAGCAACGCCGCGUGAGUGAAGAAGGUUUUCGGAUCGUAAAGCUCUGUUGUUAAGGAAGAACGAGUGUGAGAAUGGAAAGUUCAUACUGUGACGGUACUUAACCAGAAAGUGACGGCUAACUACGUGCCAGCAGCCGCGGUAAUACGUAGGUCCCGAGCGUUGUCCGGAUUUAUUGGGCGUAAAGCGAGCGCAGGCGGUUAGAUAAGUCUGAAGUUAAAGGCAGUGGCUCAACCAUUGUAGGCUUUGGAAACUGUUUAACUUGAGUGCAGAAGGGGAGAGUGGAAUUCCAUGUGUAGCGGUGAAAUGCGUAGAUAUAUGGAGGAACCCCGGUGGCGAAAGCGACUCUCUGGUCUGUAACUGACGCUGAGGCUCGAAAGCGUGGGUAGCAAACAGG
rnacentral:rRNA from 1 species